rnacentral:rRNA from 1 species
GACGAACGCUGGCGGCGUGCUUAACACACGCAAGUGGAGCGACGAACCAGGGCUUGCCCUGGGGCAGAGCCGCGAACGGGUGAGUAACACGUGGGUAACGUGCCCCAAUGAUCGGGACAACCCGGGGAAACCCGGGCUAAUACCGAAUGUGCUCCCCUCACACCAGUGAGGGGUGGAAAGGAAGCUUCGGCCUCCGCAUUGGGAUCGGCCCGCGGCCCAUUAGCUUGUUGGUGAGGUAACGGCUCACCAAGGCUGCGAUGGGUAGCUGGUCUGAGAGGACGAUCAGCCACACUGGGACUGAGACACGGCCCAGACUCCUACGGGAGGCAGCAGUGGGGAAUCUUGCGCAAUGCGCGAGAGCGUGACGCAGCAACGCCGCGUGGGGGAAGAAGGCCUUCGGGUUGUAAACCCCUUUCAGGAGGGACGAAGCCUCGGCCGUUAAUAGCGGACCGAGGUGACGGUACCUCCAGAAGAAGCCCCGGCUAACUACGUGCCAGCCGCCGCCGUAAGAC